rnacentral:rRNA from 1 species
GAUGAACGCUGGCGGCGUGCCUAAUACAUGCAAGUCGAGCGAACAGACGAGGAGCUUGCUCCUCUGACGUUAGCGGCGGACGGGUGAGUAACACGUGGAUAACCUACCUAUAAGACUGGGAUAACUUCGGGAAACCGGAGCUAAUACCGGAUAAUAUAUUGAACCGCAUGGGUCAAUAGUGAAAGACGGUUUUGCUGGCACUUAUAGAUGGAUCCGGGCCGCUUUAGCUGGUUGGUACGUUAACGGCUUUCCAAGGGGACGAGGCGUAGCCGACCGGAGAGGCGGGUCGCCCACCCUGGAACUGGGCCGCGCUCCAGGCGCCUACGAGAGGCACCAGUAGGCAAUCUUCCGCAGUGGGCGGAAGCCUGACGGAGCAACGCCGCGUGAGUGAUGAAGGUCUUCGGAUCGUAAUGCUCUGUUAUUAGGGAAAAACAAAUGUGUAAGUAACUAUGCACGUCUUGACGGUAACUAAUCAGAAAGCCCCGGCUAACUACGUG